GUGGGGAAUCUUAGACAAUGGGGGAAACCCUGAUCUAGCCAUGCCGCGUGAGCGAUGAAGGCCUUAGGGUUGUAAAGCUCUUUCAGCUGGGAAGAUAAUGACUGUACCAGCAGAAGAAGCCCCGGCUAACUCCGUGCCAGCAGCCGCGGUAAUACGGAGGGGGCUAGCGUUGUUCGGAAUUACUGGGCGUAAAGCACACGUAGGCGGACCGGAAAGUCAGAGGUGAAAUCCCAGGGCUCAACCUUGGAACUGCCUUUGAAACUCCUGGUCUUGAGGUCGAGAGAGGUGAGUGGAAUUCCGAGUGUAGAGGUGAAAUUCGUAGAUAUUCGGAGGAACACCAGUGGCGAAGGCGGCUCACUGGCUCGAUACUGACGCUGAGGUGCGAAAGCGUGGGGAGCAAACAGGAUUAGAUACCCGAGUAGUCC
rnacentral:rRNA from 1 species